GAUGAACGCUGGCGGUAUGCUUAACACAUGCAAGUCGAACGGUCACUUCGGUGAUAGUGGCGGACGGGUGAGUAACGCGUGAGAAUCUGUCUUCAGGUCGGGGACAACAGUUAGAAAUGACUGCUAAUACCGGAUGUGCCUUUGGGUGAAAGAUUUAUUGCCUGAAAAAGAGCUCGCGUCAGAUUAGCUAGUAGGUGGUGUAAGAGACUACCUAGGCUCCGAUCUGUAGCUGGUCUGAGAGGACGAUCAGCCACACUGGAACUGAGACACGGUCCAGACUCCCACGGGAGGGAGCAAUGGGGAAUUUUCCGCAAUGGGCGAAAGCCUGACGGAGCAAUACCGCGUGAGGGACGAAGGCUUUUGGGUCGUAAACCUCUUUUCUCAAGGAAGAUGAUGACGGUACUUGAGGAAUAAGCAUCGGCUAACUCUGUG
rnacentral:rRNA from 1 species